rnacentral:tRNA from 1 species
AUAAACAUAUUUAUGCUUUAUAAAAAGUUAGAAGCUUUUUUUAAAUAUUUCUUU